AGUGAACGCUGGCGGUAGGCCUAACACAUGCAAGUCGAACGGCAGCACAGUAAGAGCUUGCUCUUACGGGUGGCGAGUGGCGGACGUGUGAGGAAUACAUCGGAAUCUACUUUUUCGUGGGGGAUAACGUAGGGAAACUUACGCUAAUACCGCAUACGACCUACGGGUGAAAGCAGGGGAUCUUCGGACCUUGCGCGAUUGAAUGAGCCGAUGUCGGAUUAGCUAGUUGGCGGGGUAAAGGCCCACCAAGGCGACGAUCCGUAGCUGGUCUGAGAGGAUGAUCAGCCACACUGGAACUGAGACACGGUCCAGACUCCUACGGGAGGCAGCAGUGGGGAAUAUUGGACAAUGGGCGCAAGCCUGAUCCAGCCAUACCGCGUGGGUGAAGAAGGCCUUCGGGUUGUAAAGCCCUUUUGUUGGGAAAGAAAAGCAGCAGGUUAAUACCCCGCUGUUCUGACGGUAACCAAAGAAUAAGCACCGGCUAACUUCGUG
rnacentral:rRNA from 1 species